rnacentral:rRNA from 1 species
AUUGAACGCUGGCGGCAGGCCUAACACAUGCAAGUCGAACGAGUUUCGGACGGGUGAGUAAUGUCUGGGAAACUGCCCGAUGGAGGGGGAUAACUACUGGAAACGGUAGCUAAUACCGCAUACCAUCGGAUGUGCCCAGAUGGGAUUAGGUAGUUGGUGAGGUAAAGGCUCACCAAGCCGACGAUCUCUAGCUGGUCUGAGAGGAUGACCCGCCACACAGGAACUUAGAAACGGCCCAGACUCCUACGGGAGGCAGCAGUGGGGAAUAUUGCGCAAUGGGGGCAACCCUGACGCAGCCAUGCAGCGUGAAUGAAGAAGGCCUUCGGGUUGUAAAGUUCUUUCGGUAGCGAGGCGUUAACUACAGAAGAAGAACCGGCUAACUCCGUGCAAGCAGACGCGGUAAUUC